rnacentral:rRNA from 1 species
AUUGAACGCUGGCGGAAUGCUUUACACAUGCAAGUCGAACGGCAGCACGGGGGCAACCCUGGUGGCGAGUGGCGAACGGGUGAGUAAUACAUCGGAACGUGCCCGGUCGUGGGGGAUAACGUAGCGAAAGUGACGCUAAUACCGCAUACGAUCUGAGGAUGAAAGCGGGGGACCUUCGGGCCUCGCGCGAUCGGAGCGGCCGAUGUCAGAUUAGGUAGUUGGUGGGGUAAAGGCCUACCAAGCCGACGAUCUGUAGCUGGUCUGAGAGGACGACCAGCCACACUGGGACUGAGACACGGCCCAGACUCCUACGGGAGGCAGCAGUGGGGAAUUUUGGACAAUGGGCGCAAGCCUGAUCCAGCCAUUCCGCGUGCAGGACGAAGGCCUUCGGGUUGUAAACUGCUUUUGUAUGGAACGAAAAGGCUCUGGCUAAUACCUGGGGCUCAUGACGGUACCGUAAGAAUAAGCACCGGCUAACUACGUG